CUGAAGUUGGCUGAGACAGACAGAAGGAGAUGCUGUGAAGGUUGAGGAGGCCUUCUUCCGAUUCAAUUGCAUUCAGAACCCAUUGGAGAUCAUCUCUAAAGCUGUGGUUUUCCGACAUGGUUAAGGAUGAAGAUGUGAGUAAAGGAGCAGACUUUUGUUGCCUUUCGGCGGAAAUGGAAUGCCUUGUCUUGACGAAAAGGGAUAUAUAUGUGCUUGUGUGUCUGCAAAGAGCAUUUCCCUUUUAUGGGGUGUUGCACUGCCAUUGAAGCACUGGGAAUCCAGUACAGCAAAAGGAGGAAUAAAAGGGAGCGGAAUCGGGGGGACAAAUUGCCCUACAUUUAGGGGGAGCGGUGUUUGGAUAAGAGUGCGAGUGCACCCCAUUUAACUGAGCAGGCAGCAGUUCUCUCUCCCCAGCAACGGCCUUCCAUUUUCGGCGCCCGUCCGGCAGCACUCUCCACUCUCUCUCUCUCUCUCUCCGUCCCCUCUAGCAGCGGCCGCGACGUCCCCUCCACCUCCUGCGUCCCCUCCAACAGCGGUCGCGGCGUCCCCUCCACCUCCGAUGUCCUCUCUCUCCGACAUGUCAUCCGCCUACAGCGACCCUCCUCUCUCUCCGACGUACAGCAACGGCCCUCUACUCCGUCCGGCGUCCCCUCCAGCAGUGACCGUAGUCCUCCGGCGUCCUCUCUCUUUCCGGCGUGAAAUAGUGGCAUACAGUUUUAGGCGGUGUAAUUUCAACAACAGUGUAUCAUAAAUUAUGAUUUGUUUAUAUCUUAAAAUCUUUUUAGUACUUAAACUAAACAAAUUCAUAAAACUGUAUAUCAUCAUUUGGACACUAUA